rnacentral:tRNA from 1 species
ACAGACAUAGCUCAGAGGUAGAGCAUAUGCUUGGCAUGCACGAGGUCCUGGGUUCAAUCCCCAGUACCUCCA